GGACAGCUGGCCGAGUGGUCGAAGGCGCUCGCCUGGAACGCGGGUGUGGAGCAAUCCACCGUGGGUUCGAAUCCCACGCUGUCCACCA
rnacentral:tRNA from 1 species